GCUGCUGCGCAGCGUUCAUCUGAGCAUGAUACAAACUCAUAACUUCUUUUGCAUCCACUCCCACGCUGUGACGGGCGGUGAGUACAAGGCCCGGGAACGUAUUCACCGUGGCAUUCUGAUCCACUAUUACUACCGAAUCCCACUUCAUGGAGACUAGUUGCAACUCCAUUCCGGACUACAACCCACAUUAUGACGUACUUUAGCUCUCCCGAGGUCGUCUCUCUUUGUAUGUGCCCUUGUAAUACGCGAUUGUACCUGGUCGUAAGGGCCUGGAUGUCUUGACCAUAUUCCCACCUUCCUAUCCCCAUCUUUGUCCAUCUCCUUUGUGUUACCCGCCGGACCGUUCCCAACCAGACCACUGGUAACAAUCGAUGAGGGACUUACUCAAUGUUUCACUUAACCAAUUGUUUACAGACACGAGCUGAUGACUCACAUUCCCCAACUGCACAUUCUCUCCCCUGAAAACUCCCCGCGGUUGCUAAAACCAUGUAAGGAUCUUCGCAUUGCAUCAAAUUUCAUCACAUGCUCCACCGCUUGGUGCAGGCCCCCCCACUUUAUUUUGAGUUCUACCUUGCGGCCGUACUCCCUAAGCCGUCCACUUAACCUCCCAAUGCGGAAGACUCGACUCAUGGCACCACCUACCCGCCCACAUCGGGUACGAGCUGAAAACCAAGGUCUUAACCCGUUUGCUCCCACGCUUUCUUACUCUGAGCUUGCUCCUUCGUCUAUGGGGCGCAUUCGUCACCGGUAUUCUUCGGAUCCUUACUCUUUACCGGUACACCUGGAGAUCUAUCCCCUUUACCAGACUUCAACUUGGCAUCAUCCCAGCUUUACCAGAUUGAGCCUGGGAAUUUCAUAUUACUUUAACAACUGCAGCCCGGGCUUAUCACAACUACUCCAAAAACGCCGGCCCCCCCUUA
rnacentral:rRNA from 1 species